GCCUGCGAAGAGAUCAAAUAUUGAAUUCAAAACUUCAUACUCGAGUACGGUGAUGUACAUAUCAAAAACUGUGAUCUUUACCAUAAUAGACAGUGCCAAAGCCACCAUCUCCAAGUUCUUUGGCUGGAUUAAAUCUGUCUGUGGCUUUUUCAAGCUCUUCAUAAGAGAACAAAGGUUUUGAGAUGAGGUCCAUCAGGACAAAAGCAAACAAACUGAUUCUUUUCGACCCCACAUCGGCCACCACUUGUGUCACAGGUGCUACAACUUUGGCCACUCCAAUUUAAACUAAAUCCCAUCUUCAAGAGAUCAGUAUAAUUCUUCCUCAACAACCCAGUAAAAUCAUCAUCCUCAUUGUUAAAGUCCAUAGGCACCUCGACAGAGGAUUGACAAGAAUUGGAAGAGAAGUUCAUAAACUCCAGAUAUCCUUCAUGGAAAGCACCAAAUGAAUGGAGUUUGCUUGUGCUAGAACAGUCAAUUGGGUAGCUAUAAUUGGGAGGAAGAGAAGUACAAUUGUAAAAGAAGAAGAAACCAAUAUGAUCUGAACUAUAACUAAAUGGAGUUCGGUGGAGGCUGAAAUUAUGUAGAGGAGUAAGGCAGUUUGAAUCAUAAACCGCAUCAUUUGUCAAAAGAAAAGAAUGGUUUUUGUAGGAAAUAUCCCUGAUAAUAUAAUCUUCAUUUGAAAUUCUGAUAAUUGGGUUUUCAUCUUUGCAGGAAAUACGGAAGCUUGGGAAUCCACAGAAGGGGCUGUGAGAAUGAGCUAUCCAGAAAGGGUAACUAAUAUUUGGACCAUUCCCACAGGACUUUGGAGCACAAGCUUCAAACUUUUGAUCUAAGGACAGAGUUUGGCAAUUAAAGAAGAUGAAGAAGAUGAUGAGAAGAAAAGGGGUUUUCAUGAAAUCCAUAAAUGGAAGAUACCAGAAGAAGAAGAAGAAGAAGAAGAAGAAGGGUAGGAAAAUGGAGAGAGGUUUUGAAGGGGAACUUCCAGUGUUUUUGGUGAGUUAAACCAACCCUUUUUGAAUCCGAUUUGGAGGGGUUUGUUUCUUGUUUUAAGUUCUUGAAAUCUUUGUGUUUUGGUUUUGUGAAUGAUGUUUGGAAAAAGGAAGAGAAAAGACAAAUCAUGGUUCAAGCAAAAGCAAAGUUUAGAAGUCAUUUAGAAGACUUGAAGGUGGGCCAAAUGGGAACGAUCACAAAAUGUUUUUUUUAUGAAUUUUGUGGCAUAAGAACUAAGAUUGCUUCCUCAAUGAAAUUGUAAUAGAGAGGGGAAAAAAGCAAGUUCCUUUUCAACA